rnacentral:rRNA from 1 species
CAGUCGCCGCGGUAAUACGGAGGGUGCAAGCGUUAUCCGGAUUUAUUGGGUUUAAAGGGUCCGUAGGCGGAUCUGUAAGUCAGUGGUGAAAUCUCACAGCUUAACUGUGAAACUGCCAUUGAUACUGCAGGUCUUGAGUAAAUUUGAAGUAGCUGGAAUAAGUAGUGUAGCGGUGAAAUGCAUAGAUAUUACUUAGAACACCAAUUGCGAAGGCAGGUCACUAAGAUUUAACUGACGCUGAUGGACGAAAGCGUGGGGAGCGAACAGGAUUAGAUACCCGUGUAGUCCCUGUCUCUUAUAC